rnacentral:lncRNA from 1 species
UUUCCAAACAGAACUUGGAACCCUUCUAACUGGCAUCACAAUCUAGUACCAACAGUCUCCCAAGCUCACUUGGCCAGAGAUGGUCAACAGCGAACAUGCUGAGCUGCUUCUCCACUUCACAAGGCUGCAGCCUUAGGACUCCAGGCAGAGAAAGUGUCUAUCAAAGAUUGAGAAGACAGCUGACUCCAUCCAGAUGCCACAGACCACACUGCAGCAGCCAUAUGACUGUCACAGACACCCCAGGGAAGUUCUCCCCGGGAGUGACCACCAGUGACCUAUCAAAAUCAAGAGUUCCUGCUGGUCUAACUGCUGCACAAGCAUAGUUAUCUUUGAGUCAUCCAGCAAUGAAGGGUUUGAGGUCUGGAACAGCUUUAUCAGAAAUGGUAAAGGAAAAAAAAAAAAAAAGAAAUGGUAAAGGAAGGAAAGAAUAGAGGCUUCAAUAAACUUUGCAACCUAAACCUUUUUGUCAUUCUAAUACAUAUAAU